AAUGGCAGUGUUCCUUGGUUCAAUGAAGGGCCUGCGAGUUGGUCUUAAUUUGGCCUUGGCUAUUGCUUUGCACAACAUUCCAGAGGGUGUUGCUGUUGCAUUGCCUGUCUAUUUUGCAACACAAAGCAAGUGGCAGGCAUUCAAAUUGGCAACACUUUCUGGUUUUGCAGAACCACUCGGUGUUGUUCUUGUAGCAUAUCUAUUUCCGAGCAGCUUAAAUCCUGAAAUUCUUGAGGGUCUGCUAGGAUCAGUUGGUGGGGUAAUGGCUUUCCUAACUUUGCAUGAAAUGCUGCCAUUGGCUUUCGAUUAUGCGGGGCAGAAGCAAGCCGUUAAGGCUGUAUUCCUUGGUAUGGCUUUCAUGUCAGCAAGUCUAUAUUUUCUUGAAAUCAGCUUACCUGAGGAGUUGAGUUUGUAACCAUCAACCACAAUGAUGUGCAUUCUAAAACCACUGUACUCAGAUCGGACACAGCACGAUUUGAUCUCAUCGGAGGGCCAAGAAGACACUGAUGUCCUAGAAGGCUAGAACAAAUGCUGCUUUAUUGUUAGUCAAUACCUUACCGUUUUAUUUGCCUUUCUAAUUUCCUCCAAGUAAUAGGAAAAUGUAAGGGGGUUGGCAAAGAAAAGGGGGGAAAAACUAUGAAGCUCAUUGAUCAGCAGCUCUUAAAAGUAAAUAAUAAGUUCAGUGAAAUGAUGAGAUUCAUAGUUUUUCCCCCCUUUUCUGUGCC
rnacentral:misc_RNA from 1 species